GCCACACUUUUAUUGAACGAGGAACUAAUAUUGACCAUGGCAACACACUGUAUAACAAGUCAAUAGCAGAGUUUGAGCAUAUUGAGACCUCACGCUGUUCACACACACGCACACACACACACACACACGCACACACGCACGCACGCACACGCACACACACACACACACACACACACACACACACACACACACACACACACACACACACACACACACACACACACACACACACACACACACACACACACAGAAAACUGUACAAGCUAAACACUUACUGCUGGUUCAGUAGAACGGAGAUCAUGUCACCUUCAAACACCACGACAUCCUCACUAGUAAACUGAUAUGUAUAGACAACUCGUCCCCUGAAAGCAGCACUCCUCAAUCUCUGAUUCCAAAAUGAUGAUUGGGGAGUGCUGACUUCAACAUGGAUACCUAAAUACUGCCACUCCAAUGCAUGUUGCAAUUAAACUAGUCAAUAAAUACACUACUAAAUAAAACAUCACCCACAAGCAGAAACACACAACUGAUACAAACCUCAAAGAGAACAGUACUCAAUCUGUUUCAGAUGUAGAAAAACAAACACAACAUGAUACUCGUUAGUCAAACAAAGUACAGCAGGGGGAGAGAAAAACACAAGAGAAAAAACAACCUCUAAACAGAUCCUAGUUUGAUUUCCUCAGAGGGUUUUGUUUGGUCACCGUUUAUACCCUUCACCCAGAGAGGGAAGAAGUUGCCCCUAGACACUGGUCUGAGGUCAGUUGUGUUUUCCCACUUGAUAGUUAAGGAUUUUGAAAGGGCACUGAUCCUAGAUCAGUUCCUAUGGACAUCGUCUACCUGGAGCACUGUCAACCAAGAGAGCUGUCCAGUGAUAGGAUGACAGGAGUGUUUCCAGACUUAAGAACAUUCAGAGAAAGGUAGCAUACACAGAACACUUCUCUGAGUUCUCUUUGAGGGUUCUAGAGUAAUAGGAACCCGGUUCCCCUCUCAGUGUCUCUCUGCUGACAGGGAGUGGUUCCUUUGGCACGGUACAUUGAGAAGGUCCAUGUGGAUCUGAGGUCCAUGUUGUGGACCAUGCUAAUGCUAUCCGUAUGUGGCUACGUAAACAAACCCACAUCAGGAUUUGCUCUCUCCCAUAGUCUUUCAAGGGCUCACAAACUAUCUAAAAAAACGACACACAAAAAAAUUAUGUUUGGUCACUCUCAAUGGUCCUUUCUGAUUGGUCCUUCUGGUUUUUAGGCUGACUAGUUUGUUGUCUAGGAUUUAUCAUUCAGUCAGUGAACCUGGCAGGGGCAGCGAGAUGAUUGGUUGACUGUUGGAGAGUUAAAGUCGUAGUUCAUAAGUACAGUGGAAACAGUCAGGGUUACAUGUCCAACGGAGCCUCGGAGGUCAUGGGACUUUACGAGUCUCGGCUCUCUGAUUGUCAAACACGGGGAGGAAAGAGAGCAUCUCUGCAACGGAAGGCGGGAAAAGGAUUGUCUUCAACCAUGGCAGGUGGGCAGGAUCCUGGGACUCUGCUGCAGCCAGUCUGGUCCCUGGAUCAGCAGACAGGGCCCAGGCAGAAAGACGGGGCCCAGGAAGGCAGAAAGGCAGGAACCAGGCAGGCAGGAACUAGGCAGGCAGGAACUAGGCAGGCAGGCAGGGACCAGGCAGGCAGACAGGGACCAGGCAGGCAGGCAGGGACUAGGC
ensembl:lncRNA